AGUGAACGCUGGCGGUAGGCCUAACACAUGCAAGUCGAACGGCAGCACAGUAAGAGCUUGCUCUUACGGGUGGCGAGUGGCGGACGGGUGAGGAAUACAUCGGAAUCUACUUUUUCGUGGGGGAUAACGUAGGGAAACUUACGCUAAUACAGCAUACGACCUACGGGUGAAAGCAGGGGAUCUUCGGACCUUGCGCGAUUGAAUGAGCCGAUGUCGGAUUAGCUAGUUGGCGGGGUAAAGGCCCACCAAGGCGACGAUCCGUAGCUGGUCUGAGAGGAUGAUCAGCCACACUGGAACUGAGACACGGUCCAGACUCCUACGGGAGGCAGCAGUGGGGAAUAUUGGACAAUGGGCGCAAGCCUGAUCCAGCCAUACCGCGUGGGUGAAGAAGGCCUUCGGGUUGUAAAGCCCUUUUGUUGGGAAAGAAAAGCGGCAGGUUAAUACCCCGCUGUUCUGACGGUACCCAAAGAAUAAGCACCGGCUAACUUCGUG
rnacentral:rRNA from 1 species